rnacentral:rRNA from 1 species
GAUCAUGCUCAGGAUGAACGCUAGCGACAGGCUUAACACAUGCAAGUCGAGGGGCAGCGAGGGAGUGGCAACACUUCUGUCGGCGACCGGCGCACGGGUGAGUAACGCGUAUGCAACCUGCCCUUCACAGGGGGAUAACCGGGAGAAAUUCCGACUAAUACCGCAUACGUCCUUUGGGGGCAUCCCCGGGGGAUGAAAGAAUUAUCGGUGAAGGAUGGGCAUGCGUGAUAUUAGGUAGUUGGCGGGGG